GCAAACUUGGUCAUUUAGAGGAAGUAAAAGUCGUAACAAGGUUUCCGUAGGUGAACCUGCGGAAGGAUCAUUACCAGGAAUUGAGGUUGCCUAUUCUGGCGCCUCUCCCUCCACCCGUGUUUACUUAAAACUCUGUUGCUUCGGCGGGCCCGCCUGAACCCUUUGGGGGAUGGCCGCCGGGUGUGUUUACACGCCAUGGCCAGUGCCCGCCGGAGGACCUUCUGAACUCAUGUGAAUUUGUAACGUCUGAGUAUAAACAAAAUCAUUAAAACUUUCAACAAAGGAUCUCUUGGUUCCGGCAUCGAUGAAGAACGCAGC
rnacentral:misc_RNA from 1 species